rnacentral:lncRNA from 1 species
CACUCUCGCUUUCUAUUUCUUUGAGGUUUACAGUCUUCAGAACUCUCACAGACUGGUUCAGGGAUUAUUUAUCUGAACCUGGUUAGUGGCCACAGGACUCGCUGGCAGUUUUCAUAUGGACCAGAUGGGGAUGAAGUCUGGUUAUGUGUGUAUGUCUUAAGAAGAUCUCACGUUGUAGUCCAGCUUCGUCUGAUACCUGCCACUAUCCUCCUGCUUCAUUUUCUUCAGUGCUGGACCACUUUGUCUGGCUGAGGUCUAGUGAUAGAAACCAUCCUAAAGUCUAGUGGCCAGCCAUCAGAGCCAGAUUGUCAAGCCCCCAGAUCCCAGUGAGAGGAGUGAAGAGCUGGCUCAGCAGUUAAGAGCAUGCACUGGUUGCUUUUCCACAGCACCCGGAUUUGAUUCCCAACACCCACCUGGUGGAUUAUAAUCAUAUGUAACUCCAUUCUCACGGGAUCCGGGGCCUUCUUUUGGUUUCCACAGGCACACAUAUAUUCCCUGUGCACACACAUUCACACACACACACACAUUCACACAGACACACACGUACAUAAAAACAAAUUAAAGGCAAGCAUCUGAUCAUGCAAGUGAUGGAGGUGUGUGUAGUCCAGGUCCAUGUUGAUCUGCAUGCUGGACUUGCAGUGUGGAUGGAGGAAUUUGCCCCAGACAUAUUUGAUGGGAAGAAGCACUUUCACAUGUGCUCUCUCUCUCUCACACCCUCUCUUUCUUUGUGGUACUGUCAUGCUACGCAACUCAGGCUCCCCUCAAACUUACAAUCCUUCUGCAUCAGCGUUCAGAGUGUAAGGAUUAUCAGUACACUCCACCUUACCGCUCUAGCCCCACUGUUCUGAGGACACAGGUGCCCCUGACUGGCUCCUCGGUGAAUGACGUCGCUCACAGUUCCCCAGCCCCUCUCCUGGGCUCCUCCUCUGCUUGGGAUGGGUGGCUAGCAGGAUUCCUAUCAAGAGCACAUGGCUUCCUCCUAGGUACCAGCUUCAUCCUUACCAUAGGUCCCCACCCAGAGUAUUGCUGAGUGUCACCUGAGGUCAUUCCCUUGUCCCAGUUGGAGACCAGAUGGGGAGUCUCAUCAGGCUGUGACUUGCCUUUGAGCAUUUGUGAACCAUCUGCUGCUAGGCACUUUUCAUGGUGGCCUCCUGUAAUCAUAGCUCCAACUCAAAGCAACUGCUACUACUACUAUUUAUUACUAUGUUUUUAAUUUUUAAGAAUUAUUCUAUUUUAUGUUCAUAAUAUAAAUUUAUUUAAC